ACCUGGCUGGCUCAAACGGCAGAGCAUGUGACUCUUGAUUUCGGGGCUGUGAGUUCAAGCCCCGCGUUGGGUG
rnacentral:tRNA from 1 species